rnacentral:rRNA from 1 species
UACGAAGGGUGCAAACGUUGCUCGGAAUUAUUGGGCGUAAAGCGCACGUAGGCGGCUUUUCAAGUCGGAUGUGAAAUCCCUCGGCUUAACCAAGGAAGUGCAUCCGAAACUGGAGAGCUUGAGUACUUAAGAGGAUCGCGGAAUUCCCGGUGUAGAGGUGAAAUUCGUAGAUAUCGGGAGGAACACCGGUGGCGAAGGAGGCGACCUGGUCCUAUACUGACACUCAUACACGAAAGCGUGGGGAUCAAACAGG